UAGCUUUUUCUCAUCUUGACGGAAGCGACACUGCUGUGAAGUGAUAUAAACCAGAUUCCUUAAAAUGGCGGUGUUUAUUUGGCUUGUCAUACUCCUUUCUUUCCUGUCACUUUCAAAUGCACAGCUAGAGAAAUAUUGCUGGGCCGGCUUUCAAAAACAGGAAUGUGUGGAUAACACACUCUUACAAGGGCGAGAGGGACUAAUGGUAAGCUACUUUCUCAGCAUUCCAUUUUCUCGGAUUUGCUGCGAAGCCCUAAGUUGUACCCAGGAGACAGGGAGGUGUGAGUUCCAAUACGCUGGGUGCCAUGAUAAUAGCACAGCAAAUAUCCAGACUCGACCAAGACUUUGGGAACUCCAAAACAUACCUCCAGUGAUGCGGUGUACCGAUGUGCAAGGCAAGGGUGCAUUUUAUAAGUUUUGGACUCAGAUUGUGCAGAAAGAAACCCUUUUGUAAUUAAGAAACACUCAUUAAAAGACGUUUUGAUUUUCGGAAAAAAUGUUAUGAAGUUAACAAUAAAAUGCAUUUAAGAUGAAUGUGAUAAUAGAUAAAACGCAUGAAUAUUCAUUAACUAAAACAAACAAUAACCUUAUAUAAAAUUUCACGUUUGCGUAAUGUCCGCUCUUUUCUUUUUAGAUAUGUUUACAAUCGAAUAUUUAUUAAUAAAAAUCAUACCGACUUUUUAACAAUUUCAAUUUGAUCGUGUCGGACGACCUCCGAGGUGUAAUAUUUUUUUCCAAUUUUAUAAGAUCAGCCAGCUGGGUAAAACAAUCAUUACACCGUUCUUUCUUUAUAUGUGUACGAAACAAUGAUAUAACACUGGCUGGGGCAACUUCGGGAGAUGUUAAUGUCAAGGCCGUUGGGUCGGGACGACAUUUUGUUUUUGCAGAAACAUCCCGAGAUGUCCCCCAGCCAGUGUAACCUUGCGUAACUAACGAGUUAUAUAUAUUAUAACUGUUUUAUCGUAAUUUCAUAAUUUUUAACAGAAAUCAGCAAAAAAUACUGUGUUCAGUGAUUUUCCUUUUCUUGUGCCCUUUCUCUUUGUUUCAAAUCAAAUCCCUUGCAAAAAUAUAUCAAUAUCAGCUGAUAAA